GAUGAACGCUGGCGGCGUGCCUAAUACAUGCAAGUCGAGCGAACAGACGAGGAGCUUGCUCCUCUGACGUUAGCGGCGGACGGGUGAGUAACACGUGGAUAACCUACCUAUAAGACUGGGGUAACUUCGGGAAACCGGAGCUAAUACCGGAUAAUAUAUUGAACCGCAUGGUUCAAUAGUGAAAGACGGUUUUGCUGUCACUUAUAGAUGGACCCGCGCCGCAUUAGCUAGUUGGUAAGGUAACGGCUUACCAAGGCAACGAUGCGUAGCCGACCUGAGAGGGUGAUCGGCCACACUGGAACUGAGACACGGUCCAGACUCCUACGGGAGGCAGCAGUAGGGAAUCUUCCGCAAUGGGCGAAAGCCUGACGGAGCAACGCCGCGUGAGUGAUGAAGGUCUUCGGAUCGUAAAACUCUGUUAUUAGGGAAGAACAAAUGUGUAAGUAACUAUGCACGUCUUGACGGUACCUAAUCAGAAAGCCACGGCUAACUACGUG
rnacentral:rRNA from 1 species